ACUCAAAUGAAUUGACGGGGGAGCGCACAACCAGUGGAGCAUGUGGUUUAAUUCGAGACGAAGCGAAAGACCUUACCCAGGCUUGACAUGUACCUGCACGGUCUAGGAAACUAGUCCUUCUUCGAGAGUGGUACACAGGUGAUGCAUGGCUGUCGUCAGCUCGUGUCGUGAGAUGUCCACUUAAGUGUGGUAACGAGCGCAACCCCUACUGGGCGUUACAAAUCGCACAGAACUGCCUAUCAUCAAGAUGGGAGGAAGGAGGGGAUGACGUCAAGUCAGCACGUCCCUUACGUCUGGGGCAACACACAUCCUACAAUGGCGUGAACAACGGGUCGCGACGGGGUAACCCUGAGCCAAUCCUUAUAAAACACGCCUCAGUUCAGAUCGAGGUCUGCAACCCGACCUCGUGAAGCCGGAAUUGGUAGUAAUCGCAAAUCAGCAGGUUGCGGUGAAUACGUUCUCGCUCCUUGUACACACCGCCCGU
rnacentral:rRNA from 1 species